rnacentral:rRNA from 1 species
UACAGAGGGGGCAAGCGUUGUUCGGAAUUACUGGGCGUAAAGGGCGCGUAGGCGGCCUUCUAAGUCGAACGUGAAAUCCCCGGGCUCAACCCGGGAACUGCGUCCGAUACUGGAAGGCUUGAAUCCGGGAGAGGGAUGUGGAAUUCCAGGUGUAGCGGUGAAAUGCGUAGAUAUCUGGAGGAACACCGGUGGCGAAGGCGGCAUUCUGGACCACAACUGACACUGAGAGACGAAAGCCAGGGGAGCAAACGGG